rnacentral:tRNA from 1 species
GGGCAUAUAGCUCAGCGGGAGAGCAUCGGCCUUACAAGCCGAGGGUCGCAGGUUCAAACCCUGCUGUGCCCA